GCCUCGAUAGCUCAGUCGGUAGAGCAGGGGAUUGAAAAUCCCCGUGUCGGUGGUUCGAUUCCGCUUCGAGGCACCA
rnacentral:tRNA from 1 species